rnacentral:lncRNA from 1 species
UUUAAAAAUAUUUUUAUUUUAUUGCGAAUUUCUAGUCCCAACAAGGAAGUGGUAUGGAAGGAGGUAUUGCACCAGUGGAAAAUGCAAAGUGUCAAUUAUUGCACUGGUAUAUGUUUGAGGAGGAGGAAAUUGUAGGAGAGGGGAAAAUUGCAUCAAUAGAUCCAAGUGCAAAGGUGCAUCACGUGCCACUAGGACGAGAUUGUUGGAAGGUUUGGGUUGAGGAGGUGUACAUGAGUCAGUUGCCCUUAUAUAGACCAACAGAUGAAUUUCGAGUUCUUAGUGAAGCCAUGGGAAGUACUGUUGCUUGGCCGAAGAGUUGUGUUAGACUUAUUUGAUGAAGGUACUUUAUAAAUAUCUACAUUUUUUUUCAUUCAUGUAUGUUUAGAACCAUCAAGGUGGAAGUUUGUUCAUGGCAUUACCGAUGAGUGCACAAUGAUUUUUCUAAAACACAAGAAAUUGAUCUUAUUUUUAAAAAAAUCGAUCAAUUUUUUAAUUAUGAGUUUGUAUUCUUGUUAUGAUUUAAUUUCUGCAUUUAAAAGAGGACAUUGUAUUGUUUCUUAAUUGUUUGCCAUUUUUGAUUAAUUUGUUGUUAUAUUCUUUCUUUCUUACAGUUACAUGGAGCCGAACUGAGUUCUAAAGCAAAGUUUUUUUGUGUGUCUUCUUGGAUCUCGUUUAUGGAAAAGGAAUGGGUUGGGACUCAUUUGAAGCUUUGGUUCUAUAUUGUUUACACAAACAUUUGGACAUUUUUCAUACCUCUUUGGUUAGAUGGUGUGUAUUUUUGAGUUGGAGUAUGUAUUGUGUUUUGAUGAAGUAAUAUUGUAUAUGGG